GACGAACGCUGGCGGCGUGCCUAACACAUGCAAGUGGAGCGACGAACCAGGGCUUGCCCUGGGGCCAAGCCGCGAACGGGUGAGUAACACGUGGGUAACCUGCCCCGAUGACCGGGACAACCCGAGGAAACUCGGGCUAAUACCGGAUGUGGUGGACACACUUAAGUGUGUCCACUAAAGGAAGCUUCGGCCUCCGCAUUGGGAUGGGCCCGCGGCCCAUUAGCUAGUUGGUGGGGUAAAGGCCUACCAAGGCAACGAUGGGUAGCUGGUCUGAGAGGACGAUCAGCCACACUGGGACUGAGACACGGCCCAGACUCCGUACGGGAGGCAGCAGGUGGGGAAUCUUGCGCAAUGCGCGAAAGCGUGACGCAGCAACGCCGCGU
rnacentral:rRNA from 1 species